AUUGAACGCUGGCGGCAGGCCUAACACAUGCAAGUCGAACGAGUGGCGGACGGGUGAGUAAUGUCUGGGAAACUGCCUGAUGGAGGGGGAUAACUACUGGAAACGGUAGCUAAUACCGCAUACCAUCGGAUGUGCCCAGAUGGGAUUAGCUAGUAGGUGGGGUAAAGGCUCACCUAGUCGACGAUCCCUAGCUGGUCUGAGAGGAUGACCAGAUACACUGGAACUGAGACACUGUCCACAGUCCUACGGGAGGCAGGAGUGGGGAAUAUUGCACAAUGGGCGCAAGCCUGAUGCACCGAUGCAGCGUGUAUGAAGAAGGCCUUCGGGUUGUAAAGUACUUUCAGCGGGGAGGCGUUACCCGCAGAAGAAGCACCGGCUAACUCCGUGCCAGCAGCCGCGGUAAUAC
rnacentral:rRNA from 1 species